AGUUUGUUCCUUGUAAUUAACGGAAAGGUGAGUAUCGGAACGUGAAUGAUCUCUCUUACUUUGUGGUCGAGGAGAUGGUUUCGGGCUACUUCGUGGGCUUGUGUUGGGACUGCCGGACCUUUAAUUUCAACAGUGAUGUCACAAGCGAGGAUUACUCCUUUUCCUUUGAAAAAUUUACAUUGUCGGAAUGUGAAAGUAUCGUACCUAGUAAUUUUUUUUGUAAAUUAUUCCAUUGAUAAAAACAACAAUAAAGGAAACGCCAUUUUAAUUGAUAACAAACGGAAACCAUAGAUCAUAAAGGAUCACCACAAUGCGCAUAAAAG